rnacentral:rRNA from 1 species
UACGGAGGGUGCAAGCGUUAUCCGGAUUUACUGGGUUUAAAGGGUGCGUAGGUGGGUAGGAAAGUCAGUGGUGAAUCAUUCGGGCCUAACCCGGAACUGCCAUUGAUACUAUUAUCUUGAAUACUUGGAGGUAAGCGGAAUAUGUCAUGUAGCGGUGAAUGCUUAGAUAUGACAUAGAACACCAAUUGCGAAGGCAGCUUACUACACAGUUAUUGACACUGAGGCACGGAAAGCGUGGGAUCAA